GACGAACGCUGGCGGCGUGCUUAACACAUGCAAGUCGAACGGAAAGGCCCUGCUUUUGUGGGGUGCUCGAGUGGCGAACGGGUGAGUAACACGUGAGUAACCUGCCCUUGACUUUGGGAUAACUUCAGGAAACUGGGGCUAAUACCGGAUAGGAUCUCCUGCUGCAUGGUGGGGGUUGGAAAGUUUCGGCGGUUGGGGAUGGACUCGCGGCUUAUCAGCUUGUUGGUGGGGUAGUGGCUUACCAAGGCUUUGACGGGUAGCCGGCCUGAGAGGGUGACCGGCCACAUUGGGACUGAGAUAAGGCCCAGACUCCUACGGGAGGCAGAAGUGGGGAAUAUUGCACAAUGGGCGGAAGCCUGAUGCAGCAACGCCGCGUGCGGGAUGACGGCCUUAGGGUUGUAAACCGCUUUCGCCUGUGACGAAGCGUGAGUGACGGUAAUGGGUAAAGAAGCACCGGCUAACUACGUG
rnacentral:rRNA from 1 species